UACGAAGGGGGCUAGCGUUGCUCGGAAUCACUGGGCGUAAAGGGCGCGUAGGCGGCCAUUCAAGUCAGAGGUGAAAGCCCAAGGCUCAACCUUGGAAUUGCCUUUGAUACUGUUUGGCUUGAGACCGGAAGAGGUUAGUGGAACUGCGAGUGUAGAGGUGAAAUUCGUAGAUAUUCGCAAGAACACCAGUGGCGAAGGCGGCUUACUGGUCCGGUUCUGACGCUGAGGCGCGAAAGCGUGGGGAGCAAACAGG
rnacentral:rRNA from 1 species